rnacentral:rRNA from 1 species
AUUGAACGCUGGCGGCAUGCUUUACACAUGCAAGUCGAACGGUAACAGGCCGCAAGGUGCUGACGAGUGGCGAACGGGUGAGUAAUGCAUCGGAACGUGCCCAGUCGUGGGGGAUAACGCAGCGAAAGCUGUGCUAAUACCGCAUACGAUCUAUGGAUGAAAGCGGGGGACCGUAAGGCCUCGCGCGAUUGGAGCGGCCGAUGUCAGAUUAGGUAGUUGGUGGGGUAAAGGCUCACCAAGCCAACGAUCUGUAGCUGGUCUGAGAGGACGACCAGCCACACUGGGACUGAGACACGGCCCAGACUCCUACGGGAGGCAGCAGUGGGGAAUUUUGGACAAUGGGCGCAAGCCUGAUCCAGCAAUGCCGCGUGCAGGAAGAAGGCCUUCGGGUUGUAAACUGCUUUUGUACGGAACGAAAAGGUUUGGGUUAAUACCCUGGGCCGAUGACGGUACCUGAAGAAUAAGCACCGGCUAACUACGUGCCAGCCGCCGCGGUAACAC